CCGCGAGGUCCGGUGGAGCCGCCCCGAGCGCGGAUCCCGGCGGUAGUAACAGCGAAGCGGGGUGAGAAUCCCCGCCGCCGGAAAGGGCAAGGGUUCCCCGGCAAUGGUCGUCAGCCGGGGGUCAGCCGGUCCUAACCGGGACCGUAACACGGAUCCCGGGAAGGGGAAACGGGUUAACAUUCCCGUGCCGCGGGGGUACGCUUCGCGGCAACGCAAGGCCCCACCCCCGACGCCUCGGGGUAGGCGGACCGGGGGCCCCCUUAGGGGGGCGACCCGGCUAACCUGCCGAAGGCCGGGGAGUGCCGUAACGGCGAGAACCGGCCGAAGGGGGGAAUGGCCCGCCUAUGGCGGGUUCCGCCGACCCCUGGGGCCCUUGAAAAGGGGGUGGGGAAGGAUCCCCCGCGCCCGUACCGAGAACCGACACAGGUGCCCCUGGGUGAGCAGCCCAAGGCGUCUGGGGGCUAACCCGGGCCAGGGAACUCGGCAAAUUGGCCCCGUAACUUCGGGAGAAGGGGUGCCUGCGGUCCUGGGGCCCGAACCCUGGGACCGCAGGUCGCAGUGCCUAGGGGGGCCUGACUGUUUAACAAAACAUAGCUCCCCGCUAGCCCGAAAGGGUGUGUACGGGGGGUGAGCCCUGGCCACUGGCGGUCCGUGAAACCGGGGUACAACCCGGCGAAGCGCCGCUGAAGGCCGGGAGUAACCCUGACUCUCUUAACGGGGGUUAUCCACCGCCAGUCACAGCAUAUAUUAGGGUUUUGGUUUCUUGGCUUCUUAUUGAGGAUAGAUUAGAGUGGAUCAGUGUCUACUGGAGGGAUAUGUGGCGGGAAUAAUAGAUGCCGAAGCUAGCCUCUCAGUAAGCAUAAAAUUCAAGAGGAUCUAAGAUGUCGUGUACGCGUCGAUCCUGUGUUCAGUAUAACACAAGACAGCAAAGACGUGUUAAACGUGGUGAAAAACUACUUUGGCUGUGGCAGGUUGAUGCCGAAACCAGGUCAAGAACAUCUAACAUUAUAUGUGGUUGAUAGGCUAGAGGCUCUUGCUGAUUGUCUAAUCCCUAAAUUGGAUCGUCUACCAUUAAUCGUCAAGAAAAGAGGAUUCGAGAUGUUCCGUGAGAUUGUAUUAACGUUAACCCGAAUGAAAUAUAGACGAGUCGAGUGUUGCGUCAUAAGAGACUUGGUAUUGAAAUCGUACUCCCUAUCUAGCCUAAAUAAAAAGUCUAAGCGAAAACGCUCGCUAGAAGAAAUUUUGAAGAUUAUUCCUUGUGAUAAGGCGGUGGAGCCCCCGGGAGAAAGGUAGCCAAAUGCCUUGCCGGGUAAGUUCCGGCGCGCAUGAACGGGUCAACGAGGUCCCCACUGUCCUGGCCCGGGGCCCCGUGAACCCCCUGAGCCGGUGCACAGUCCGGCAUCCCCCCGCAGGGAGAGAAGACCCCGUGGAGCUUUACCGCAGCCCGGCGUUGGCCCCCGGGUGGGGGUGCGUAGCGUAGGUGGGAGCCUGUGAGCCACCCUCUCCGGGGGGUGGGGAGGCGUCCAUGAAACACCACCCACCCCCGCCCGGGGGCCUAACCCCGCCCCGUGUGGGCGGGGGACAGCGUCGGGUGGGCGGUUUGGCUGGGGCGGCACGCCCGCGAAAGGGUAACACGGGCGCCCAAAGGUCGGCUCAGGCGGGUCAGAACUCCGCCGUAGAGUGCAAGGGCAAAAGCCGGCCUGACCGGACCCCUGAAAGCAAGGGGUCCGGCCGGGAAACCGUGGCCUAGCGCACGCUCGUGCCCCCUCGGUGGGGGCCGGGCACGACAGAAAAGUUACCCCGGGGAUAACAGAGUCGUCGCGGGCGAGAGCCCCCAUCGACCCCGCGGUUUGCUACCUCGAUGUCGGCUCUUCCCAUCCUGGGGGUGCAGCAGCCCCCAAGGGUGGGGCUGCCCGCCCAUUAAAGGGGAACGUGAGCUGGGUUCAGACCGUCGUGAGACAGGUCGGUCUCUACCCGCGGGGGGUGUGGGCCGCCUGAGGGGAAGGUGCCCUUAGUACGAGAGGAACGGGGCGCCGCGGCCUCUGGUGUACCGGUUGUCCUGGUGGGCAACGCCGGGCAGCUAAGCCGUAGGGGGUAACCGCUGAAAGCAUCUAAGCGGGAACCCCUCCCCGAAAAGAGGCGGCCGUUGGGCGCCGGCCUCGAGCCGGCGUCCACGAGGGCUCCCGUAGAAGACGGGGUUGAUGGGGCGGGGGUGUGAGCCCCGAGGGGGCUUAGCCCCCGAGGGGUGUAGCCCGCCGCUCCCAAUCGCCCGAGGCCGUAGGC
rnacentral:rRNA from 1 species